CAAAUUCAUAGAGCUCACUCUCUCACUCUUAUUUUGUUCCCACCGCCAAAUUAACCCUUUUUGUUAUACUUUCUCAAAAACCCAUUUUGUCAAAAUCAAAACCAUUCCUUUUUCUGUGGUCAAAGCUUCAUCUGAUAUUGGGUCCUGCUGGAUCAACUCACAACGCUUCAGUGUUCAAUGUUUGCAGGUAUUAGAAUUGAAAGAGCUCUGGGAAAAUGAUUUGAGACAAGGUUUACGACUAUACAAGAUCCAAAGCAACAAAUUAUAUGAGGAUCAAGAAAUUCUACAGGGGGCCGCGCGAAUGAAGGCCCCACAGCAACAAAUUAUAUGAGGAUCAAGAAAUUCUAUGAAGAAAAUUUUUAUAUUUGAACAGGAGGGGGCCGCGCGAACGCAGGCCCCCACAGCAGCAAAUUAUGAUGUAGGUUCCACCACUUGGGUAGACCUUAGGAUAGCACCCCUCCUAAGUGCAAUGGAGGUCACUCUCCUAGGCCAUGGUCCUUCAUGAUCAACCAUUGACCCCAUCCAGAGUGAUGGUGCCAAAAGUGAUGGUUGUGAUAGAGGGAGAUUGUCUGGUUCACAUACAUUUUCUGCUCAAAGUGAUUUUGUUCAUGCAAAGUGGCCCUCAUUUUCUGCAGCAACAAAAUAAAAUAGAACAAGACUGAAUCUAGAGUUUCCUAAAAUGCUAAAAACUAAAUCAGAAAAAGGGAUAUGGAGUGAGUGCCAGAGCUGGCCUUUAAGCAAGUUGUUUUGUACCUGAAUUCUAAAAGGCUAUUGCAAUAGUGCAACGCAAAAGCGACACUUGAGGCCCAAUAGCAAGCUAUUGUGGUGGACUCUCCCCUCAAGAAAUAAAUUUAAUAUCGUGUGGACCAUUGGCCCACAUAUCAGAUAUUAAACUGAUAAGAACAGAUACUACACUUGAUCUUAGCCAAAAGGCCGAGGUGGGACUCUUAUGCACCAACUUGGAGACUACAUAUUUCCCUUUCCUUUCAUAACGAAUCACAACCAUCACAGGUACUACAUAUAUCAGUUGCAAAUGAAGUGUGUAAGUAAAACACCCGCGGUCAUAGAAGGACAACAUUUGGUUAUUUGUUUGCUAUGAAAGCCAUAACACUUUCAGCCUCUGCUUAUGGAUCUUAAGACAGUGGAGGGAAAUACUUCAUCUUAAGAGGGAGACUUUAAUACAAUAACUUGGAGUCUACAAGUGUUCCUGUCAGCACAACUAUGAUUUAGCUUGCUCUUAUGUAACAGUAAUUAAAAACCAAGAGGGGGACUGUCUAGUUCACAUACAUUUUCUGCUCAAAAAGAUUUCAUCCAUGCAAAGAUAAGUGACUCUCACUUUCUACAUAUUGCCUGCAACAUCAAAAUUACACCCAAACAUUUAUACUAUAAGCCUUUUAAAUAAGUUGUUUAUCUAAACGAAGUCUUAUUUGAUUUAUAUUGAGCUUACAUUUGUGGAUUUUGAUAUUGCAUAAAAAUUCUGGUGAUGAUGAACCACCGCGUUGAAUAUGUAUGACUUUAGUACUUUGAGACCAAUGAUAUCAUUUCAUGCUCAAAACAGGUAAUUGGAUGCUUCUAUGGUUGUAGAAUUUGGUUAUACAUCAAAAAUAUGAAAUAACAUUCAAACCUUACAGUUUACUACUAUAAGAUGAAAGCUUCAUAAAUAAAGCUUCUUAUCAAUAUACUAUGAUGUGUAAUUGGAAGGAUGAAGUUGAAUUGGAAGUCCUUUUUCAGGUUCUAGCAUAGGAUCAUACUUGAAAUUCUCAUCAGGAUUAACUAAAUCCCACUUGAAACGUUUCACAAUAUUAUGCAUAAACACAAGUAUCUCUAGCCGAGCAAACUCUUGUCCCAAACACAUUCUAGGUCCUCCUCCAAAUGGAACAUAUGAAUAAGGGAUGUUAUAAUCAGCAUAGGUCAAAUCCUUCAUAGCAUUUCUAUAAGCGCCGCCGACGGGUGGCGACAGCCUCAAAACUUCAGAUGCAACAUUCCAAGAGUAUUUCAUUUUUUGAACAUCCUCCCAUUGUAAUAACUCUCCUUCCUCUUUCCCUUGGCUAAUUUCAAGUUGUUCUGUCAUUAGAAAAAAAAGACAAUUUCAACAUUUAUCCUAAUGAAAAUUUUAUUAAAAGUUCUCGUGUUCCAACAUCCAGUCUAUUGCAUUGUACAAAAGAUCAGUGCAACAGACUUAAAAGUCGGAACAUCGUGAAAUGAGUAUUCGAAUGUUUCAGUGAGAACCUUUCAACACUUGUUCAUAAACAUCAGGCAAAUUUCCGAGAUACUUCAUGAUCAAUGAGAUUACUAAUCUGGAAGUGUCAUGGCCGGCGAAAAGAAGUAGUAACAUGUUAUCAAGAAUCUCCACUUCACUCAUAAACCUUCCACUUGUGUCAGGUGUAACAACUUUCAUUGCCGUAUGAAACCUUGUUCCAGGAAAAUUGAUGGAGAAGCUAAUGACCCCUUUGAGAAAUUUCAACUACAACUUCAUAUUCAAACUACAUACUCAUUAUGUAUCUAAUCUUUGAUGUUGCCACUAUCAAAGACAGAUUUGAUGAUAAUGAUAUAGAAAAGGAAUAAACAGUGUUUAGAACAUAGAUAAUGUUUGUACAAUUAAAGUUUUAACAUUUAAGAUACCUAGUUCAA